rnacentral:misc_RNA from 1 species
AAGUCGUAACAAGGUUUCCGUAGGUGAACCUGCGGAAGGAUCAUUAACACGUAUCCAACGUUAAACCCCCCUGUGAACCUUUAGUGUGCUCCCUCAUUCUGUUGGAACGUGGCAAUCCCUGGUAAAUCAUCGCCGAACAGUUUUGAUUCAGGGACUUCUGCAAAGAGUGCUGGUUGUAGCGCGAGGCAAGUGGCCUGGCAUUCCUCUGCUUGUUAGUGUCUGAAAGUGUCACUGGCUCUGUAAGAAUGGCGCAGUCACGAUCGCUAGAGGCCGACACGGCCGGCGACCGGGUCAGCGAGCUCUGCUCCCACUGUUACGACAAACCUCUGUUCCCCUCUAGUGAAAGCUAUUGGGUUAUAACUAAAUGACUGUUAACAAUGGAUAUCUCGAUUCUC